rnacentral:rRNA from 1 species
AUUGAACGCUGGCGGAAUGCUUUACACAUGCAAGUCGAGCGGCAGCGCGGGGCAACCUGGCGGCGAGCGGCGAACGGGUGAGUAAUGCAUCGGAACAUGUCCAUUUGUGGGGGAUAGCCCGGCGAAAGCCGGAUUAAUACCGCAUGAGCCCGAGAGGGGAAAGUGGGGGACCGCAAGGCCUCACGCGAAUGGGUUGGCCGAUGUCCGAUUAGCUGGUUGGUGGGGUAAAGGCUCACCAAGGCGAUGAUCGGUAGCUGGUCUGAGAGGAUGAUCAGCCACACUGGGACUGAGACACGGCCCAGACUCCUACGGGAGGCAGCAGUGGGGAAUUUUGGACAAUGGGGGCAACCCUGAUCCAGCCAUUCCGCGUGAGUGAAGAAGGCCUUCGGGUUGUAAAGCUCUUUUGUCCGGAGCGAAACGGUUAGCGUGAAUAGCGCUGACUACUGACGGUACCGGAAGAAUAAGCACCGGCUAACUACGUGCCAGCCGCCGCGGUAAGAC